rnacentral:ncRNA from 1 species
GAGAAAUUGAUGAAUAAGAAGAGUAGCACAGGAGCGCGAUUGUAGAGAGUCAGUGGGUGGUGAAAACUGAUUCGCGGCCGGUGUGAAUGGACUUAUGAGAGUCUACUUGAAUCGUUUUUCAAGUAGGACGUGAGAUCCCACGUUACGGGAUGUGUCUUAUGGGCACGCUAAGUGGAAGCAGCAAUGCUUCAAUUAGAGGUGGCAACGCGGUCUAUUCCGUCCUCUGC